ACACAAUGCUAUUCGCCAGAGAACUACAAGUGAAAAACUUAAAACUCCAAGGACUUGGCGGUGCUCCAUAUCGACCUAGAGGAGCCUGUCCUAUAAUCGAUACCCCCCGUUUCACCUUACCAUUUUUAGCAACUCAGCCUAUAUACCGCCGUCGUCAGCUUACCUAGUGAGAGAUUUAAAGUAGGCAAAACAGUUAUUUACUAACACGUCAGGUCAAGGUGUAGCACACAAAAUGGAAGAGAUGGGCUACAUUUUCUAACCUAGAAAAAACGAAGAUUGCAGUGAAAUCUGCCCUUUAAGGAGGAUUUAGCUGUAAGACAGACAAGAGAAUCUGCCUAAACCCCGCUUUGGAGCGCGC
rnacentral:rRNA from 1 species